rnacentral:lncRNA from 1 species
CUUUCUCCUUCUCCUCUUUUUUUCUACCGUAUGUAUUCUGCUUCUUCUUCUGCUGGUUUCUUCAACCUUCACAGGUUCUAAAUUUUCAACCAAUGCUACAUCAACUUCGUAUCAGAGCUCAACUUGGAGUCGGUCGUUUUUCUGCAUCCCACAACCUGCAUAUCCUAGCACCACCAUUUUCAAACUUCAUACUCAGUAACCAUACAAGCAUAUAAACACAGCCCCCCGCAACUUCCAGCAUCUUCGUCUAUUAUAUAUAUACGACCAAACUCCCAGCAACCAACCACUGCAAUCCUCCACUGAAAUCAACUCUCAACAUCACCUUCUUCAAAUGCCAUAUACACAACCUGUCAUAACAUGCAUGCACAUACACACAACCACUUCAAACAACAACUGAAAUCAACACUCAACCACAUUCUACCCGCCAUUCCACCGUUACUGUCCAGGCGUCCAGCCAUAAGCCAACUACCACAACACCCACUCACAAAAUCACAGCCCACUAUUCCGGCCAUACCAAAUUCACGACCGGUAGCAGUAACAGAGACUGUCGGCAACAUCCCCAAAUCGCGACCCUUAAAUUCACCAAGACAGUAAACCCGAAAUUGAAACAAACCGCCGGAACUUACAGCAACCAGAAAAGGAACCAUCACCUGUUCGAGCUUGACAACCUACAAAUUCGGACUUCUGAACACACAAAUUUCAACCCAAGUCGUCUACUUCAACAUCUUCUACAGCCUCCCAAGUCGUCGAAUGCUAGUAAACCGGCGACCCAAAUAGUUGACUCUCUCCUUCGCCGGCCACUUCCCAAGAUGUUGACUCCCCCAGCCCGGCUACGCAGUUGAGUCCAGCACCACCCACAGCCGAUCUAGAGUUGCCGUGUCAUUGGAUAUAUAUUUUUCAAUCGGGUUGGCUUUACUUGGGCUUAUGUUUGAGUGCAAGUUUGAUUUUAAUUUGGGCCCAAUUUUGUAAAAUGGGCUUAGUUAUUACCCUGUUGUAUUUAUGUAAUUUAGUUUGAUUUUGAAAGUAAUAAAAAAAAAAAAUGAGAAAAAGAAAAGGAAAGCGGAAAAAAAAGAAAAAAAAAGUGUAUUUUCUAACAUUGUUUUGCAGGUACA